UGGGGAAUCUUAGACAAUGGGCGCAAGCCUGAUCUAGCCAUGCCGCGUGAGUGAUGAAGGCCUUAGGGUUGUAAAGCUCUUUCAGCUGGGAAGAUAAUGACUGUACCAGCAGAAGAAGCCCCGGCUAACUCCGUGCCAGCAGCCGCGGUAAUACGGAGGGGGCUAGCGUUGUUCGGAAUUACUGGGCGUAAAGCGCACGUAGGCGGAUCAGAAAGUUGGAGGUGAAAUCCCAGGGCUCAACCUUGGAACUGCCUUCAAAACUCCUGAUCUUGAGUUCGAGAGAGGUGAGUGGAAUUCCGAGUGUAGAGGUGAAAUUCGUAGAUAUUCGGAGGAACACCAGUGGCGAAGGCGGCUCACUGGCUCGAUACUGACGCUGAGGUGCGAAAGCGUGGGGAGCAAACA
rnacentral:rRNA from 1 species